rnacentral:rRNA from 1 species
CCGAGGCAACAGUUUGGUAACGUUCAAAUUUUGUAGAAAAAAAAGGUAACAAGGUCUCUGUUGGUGGCCCGGCGGAGGGAUCUUUCC